AACGAACGCUGGCGGCGUGCCUAACACAUGCAAGUCGAACGAAAAGCGUUGGGGUCUUGUGGCGCACGGGUGCGGAAGGGGUGGGGAGCGGAACGUAGGUUCGAAAUGACAUUUAGAAAUGAAUGCUAAUAGCGGAUGAUGACGUAAAGUCCAUAGGUUUAUCGCCUGGGUAUGAGGAUGGGUAAGAGUAGCUGGUUGGAGUGGUAAAGGCACACCAAGGCGACAAUCCUUAGCUGGGCUGAGAGGAUGAUCCGCCACACUGGGACUGAGACACGGCCCAGACUCCUCCGGGUGGCAGCAGUGGGGAAUAUUGGACGAUGGGCGCAAGCCUGAUCCAGCAAUGUCGCGUGGGUGAUGAAGGCGUUAGGGUUGGAAAGCUCGUUUACACGGGAUGAUAAUGACAGUACCGGGAGAAUAAGCCCCGGCUAACUCCGUG
rnacentral:rRNA from 1 species